AGGCUGGCAGCGGGAUGGUGGUGGAUGCGGCCAGCUCCAAUGGGCCUUUCCAGCUCGUGGCCCUUCUCCACAUUCGAGAUGUUCCUCCUGCAGAUCAAGAGAAGCUUUUUAUCCAGAAGUUAUGUCAGUGUUGUGUCCUCUUUGACUUUGUUUCUGACACACUGAGUGACCUAAAGUGGAAGGAAGUAAAACGAGCUGCUUUAAGUGAAAUGGUCGAAUAUAUCACCCAUAAUCGGAAUGUGAUCACAGAGCCCAUUUACCCGGAAGUAGUCCAUAUGUUUGCAGUUAACGUGUUUCGGACCUUGCCACCCUCCUCCAAUCGUACGGGAGCAGAAUUCCAUCCAGAGGAGGAUGAGCCAACGUGAGAAGCAGCCUGGCCUCAUUUUCAGCUUGUUUAUGAAUUUUUCUUAAGAUUUUUAGAGUCUCCAGAUUUCCAGCCUAAUAUCGCAAAGAAAUAUAUUGACCAUAAGUUUGUACUGCAGCUUUUAGAGCUCUUUGACAGCGAGGAUCCUCGGGAGAGAGAUUUUCUAAAAACAAUCCUUCACAGAAUCUAUGGAAAGUUCUUAGGCCUGAGAGCUUACAUCCGAAAACAGAUAAAUAAUAUAUUUUAUAGGUUUAUUUAUGAAACAGAGCAUCAUAAUGGCAUAGCAGAAUUACUGGAAAUAUUGGGAAGCAUAAUUAAUGGAUUUGCCUUACCACUCAAAGAAGAGCACAAGAUUUUCUUAUUGAAGGUGUUACUACCUUUGCACAAAGUGAAAUCCCUGAGUGUCUACCAUCCCCAGCUGGCAUACUGUGUCGUGCAGUUUUUAGAAAAGGACAGCACCCUCACCGAGCCAUUGGUAAUGGCACUUCUCAAAUCCUGGCCAAAGACUCACAGUCCAAAAGAAGUAAUGUUCUUAAAUGAACUAGAGGAGAUUCUAGAUGUAAUUGAACCGUCGGAAUUUGUGAAGAUCAUGGAUUUCAGUCUAUGA